GCCCCUCUAGCACAAUUGGAUAGUUGCGUCGGACUCAAAAUCUGAAGGUUUUUAGUUCGAAUCUAAAGAGGGGUA
rnacentral:tRNA from 1 species